GAUGAAGAACGCAGCGAAAUGCGAUACGUAAUGUGAAUUGCAGAAUUCAGUGAAUCAUCGAAUCUUUGAACGCAUAUUGCGCUCUCUGGUAUUCCGGAGAGCAUGCUUGUUUGAGUAUCAGUAAACACCUCAACUUCCAUAUCUUUUUUGAAAUGGGAGUUGGACUUGAGUGAUCCCAACGCUUUUCCUCACCGAAAAGCGGCGGGUUACUUGAAAUGCAGGUGCAGCUGGACUUUUCUCUGAGCUAUAAGCAUAUCUAUUUAGUCUGCCUAAAAAACAGAUUAUUACCUUUGCUGCAGCUAACAUAAAGGAGAUUAGUUCUUGUGCUGACUGAUGCAGGAUUCACAAAGACAGGCUUCGGCCGACUUUGUAAACUCGAUCUCAAAUCAAGUAAGACUACCCGCUGAACUUAAGCAUAUCAAUAAGCGGAGGA
rnacentral:misc_RNA from 1 species